UUCAAACACUAUUCCUCGAGAUUCAGGCCGAGUUUAGAAUAGUCGGCCUGAAGCUUAAAAACUUCAAACACUAUUCCCCGAGAUUCAGGCCGGGUUUAGAAUAGUCGGCCUGAAGCUUGUAGUUGUUGACUUGCCACCGCUAUCAAAUUAACUGUGGAUCAUUUCCUUGCAGAGCUGUAUCAAUAAACGAAACUCUAUCUUCAAACUUCUGCUUGCGUCACACCGGAAAUUGACGGAUAAGCACAAGGCUUUGGUGGCCGAGCAGCAAAGCAAGACCGGGGACGACGCACAAGUGUCGGAGCUACUGACGCGCGUUGCGGAGGUGCAAGCUAGUGGAGCAUCACCGAGAUGAGGUGGCCCGAUUAAGGGCGCAACUCGAAGCGUAGGCCGAGGCGCAUAAGGCUGAGAUAGUUCAACUUACCUUGGCGCUCUCUGCGCAAGCCGACGAGAAGAUCCGCCUGUAAGGCGAAGUGCAAAAAUACAAGGGUCUUCUCGCCGAAACCAAGACCCGAGCCGCCGCUGCUGAAGAGGAGAAGGCCGAGAGCGCAUAUCUACUAGGCGUGUGCACACGGGAUCUCGGCAAGAUAGAUGGAUUGCUAGCCAAAAUCAUCCCGCAUUCUACCGAAGCUGCUCAGGCCGUCAUGAUUAGAGCUCGCGGAAAGAGGGAUUCCUCCAGGGGAUUGCCAUCGGUGUACGAUGUGGAGAACUAUCUCAUGAUCAUUUGGACCCGUGUCAAGCCUUUGAAGGCUUUCGGGAUUGAUAUGCUCAAUGCCGGCAUCCCCGCCUUCCGAGCUCUUUGGCCGGGAGAGGAAGCACCGAGUGUCAUUCCGGAGUUGGCCAAGCGUCUCCUGGAGGGGGAGGACCGGCUUAGCGAGUGGCAGGAGUCGGCCGCUCGUGUGGGCGCCGACGAGGCAUUGUCGUUCGUACUUUCUUGGUACGACGGCAUUAACCUCGACAUGCUGCAAUCCAUGCGCGUCGGCUCUCCCUUCUUCUCGAAUCCGGAGUUGAUUGCCAAGCGUCAAGAACGUGCCUACUCCUUCAUCCAGUACGUCGGCGUGCAUUCCUUCGUGGAGAGUCCGAGAUCGGACCCUGACGAAGAGGCGGCCGAGGAAGAAGAGGAGGAGGUGGAUGAAGAAAUCAUGGCCGAGUCACCUCCCGCCGAGAUAGAUGCUCCGAGCACCGGCACCAAUGAUCCUGCCAUCUGAAUUCAUGCCUUUUAAUGUCGGCGAAAACUCUUUAAAAUUGUUAAAUCCUCGGGAUGCCGGGUGCAGAUGUAAAUACGUUGAAGUACUUAUUUGUGAUGCACAAUAUUUCAAUUUGGCUUAUGCCACAAGUUAUCGAGUUCCCAGCCGAGUCCCCGAGUUUACUUUUCUGUUGGUGAAAUUAUAUGACCUCGUACUCGGACAUGCUCUGAUACCAAAUGUUGGGUUUGCCCAAAGAUCAAUCACAUGAAGACGCACACGAGGAUCACCAAAUUAUGACCAAAGGCACCUGUCGUGCCUUGUCUGUUUAUUUCUCUUGUAAAUCUCACGUUACAACCCUCUUGACCUAGUUGUGUAUAUAUACACACUACCCGACCAGCUUAGCUAGGACCAGAACACCUACACGUAUUAGUACUCCUACUUCUAAACGGACUCACCCAGUCACCCGUGGCAGCACUUGCCAUCUAGUUAACCUUGUCCAAUUACAACUAGGAAUCCACUCUGAAUACAACUAGAACUCUAGCUAUUGCCUGUACUAUUUUCAUUAGGCAAGAUUAUUCCAACAAUCUCCCCCUAAUCUUGACAUGUCAUCCGUGCUCUCCCUGAUCUUGACUCAUCACAGCUUCACGACUCGCCGACUCAGCUCAACGUAUGAUCUUGACACCCAGCCACGCUAACCUUGUGUACAAAACCAUACACCCUGUGACAACACCGUCCACUCCUAGCGCAAAACAUCCACAUGCUACUAAUCACAUUGUCUCAUGCAAGGAACAUGGCCUCACUGAAGAGACUCAUCACUGGUUACCGCCUCACAAUACUCUUGACCUUUCGUCUUUUCGCCGAGACACACGGAUGAACACCUGCCACCUUCUCUGCAUGCACGUCCUUCGCCCACGAUGAUACACCUCAUCAGAGAGCCCUUCGACCGUGAGACACUUCCGCUGCAACAGAGUCCCACACAAACGAGCACUUGGACAACUCCUCGAAGACAAUCUUGACGAGAUUCCCCGGUACCGCACCACAACCUCCCCUCAACGAUAGUCACCGACCUUGGCGACAACAGUUUGCCCUGAUGCCCAGUACUUGCCGGUUUCCCACUCGGGCUCCAAGUGGGCCGACAUUGUCACGCUCUCACCUGAGAUAGCCUUCAUCUCCCAUGGCCGAGUAUCCGUCAUUGUAACGGUCUUGCUGGCGAUCCUCACCUCGAUAAAGGGGUUACACCCGGCACCCUGCUGACAUGCAGCAGUAUUGGGCGCCGGACCCCGAGGUUGGCGUCCAUGACCUGCCGAGUGGCGCUCUUGCGGAUCUCGACAAUUGUUACCGAGAUGCAAACCACUUUGGCCGUCAUCAACUCUUCUAGCCAUUUGCUUCUCAGCCAGUGCCGGAUCAUAAUUCUCUAGCCGCUUGUCUCAGCCAGAGUUGACACUCUUAUCCCAUCCGCCACCAGGCGAAAACGCUUGCUUGUCGGCCCGGCCGCCAGCGCCUGCGAUCGAGUGAAUGAACUGAGAUGCACCGGGCUUGCCGUGCAGUCUCAUGUACGCCUUGUUUUGCUCGUUAGCCGUGCGGAGCAAUUCCUUUACACGCAACUACUGCAACCGGAGUGCCUCUCUCGUGAGAUUCGGCAACUCUUCUACUUUAACACGGGUGCUAUAUUUUGGCUUUAAUGCCGACGCAUAGCUUGUCGACACAGCAGGUAUUGCCUUGCAUUGUGAAAACUGACAUGUGCCGUCACAAACAGCCGGGGACGACGCACAAGUGUCGGAGCUACUGACGCGCGUUGCGGAGGUGCAAGCUAGUGGAGCAUCACCGAGAUGAGGUGGCCCGAUUAAGGGCGCAACUCGAAGCGUAGGCCGAGGCGCAUAAGGCUGAGAUAGUUCAACUUACCUUGGCGCUCUCUGCGCAAGCCGACGAGAAGAUCCGCCUGUAAGGCGAAGUGCAAAAAUACAAGGGUCUUCUCGCCGAAACCAAGACCCGAGCCGCCGCUGCUGAAGAGGAGAAGGCCGAGAGCGCAUAUCUACUAGGCGUGUGCACACGGGAUCUCGGCAAGAUAGAUGGAUUGCUAGCCAAAAUCAUCCCGCAUUCUACCGAAGCUGCUCAGGCCGUCAUGAUUAGAGCUCGCGGAAAGAGGGAUUCCUCCAGGGGAUUGCCAUCGGUGUACGAUGUGGAGAACUAUCUCAUGAUCAUUUGGACCCGUGUCAAGCCUUUGAAGGCUUUCGGGAUUGAUAUGCUCAAUGCCGGCAUCCCCGCCUUCCGAGCUCUUUGGCCGGGAGAGGAAGCACCGAGUGUCAUUCCGGAGUUGGCCAAGCGUCUCCUGGAGGGGGAGGACCGGCUUAGCGAGUGGCAGGAGUCGGCCGCUCGUGUGGGCGCCGACGAGGCAUUGUCGUUCGUACUUUCUUGGUACGACGGCAUUAACCUCGACAUGCUGCAAUCCAUGCGCGUCGGCUCUCCCUUCUUCUCGAAUCCGGAGUUGAUUGCCAAGCGUCAAGAACGUGCCUACUCCUUCAUCCAGUACGUCGGCGUGCAUUCCUUCGUGGAGAGUCCGAGAUCGGACCCUGACGAAGAGGCGGCCGAGGAAGAAGAGGAGGAGGUGGAUGAAGAAAUCAUGGCCGAGUCACCUCCCGCCGAGAUAGAUGCUCCGAGCACCGGCACCAAUGAUCCUGCCAUCUGAAUUCAUGCCUUUUAAUGUCGGCGAAAACUCUUUAAAAUUGUUAAAUCCUCGGGAUGCCGGGUGCAGAUGUAAAUACGUUGAAGUACUUAUUUGUGAUGCACAAUAUUUCAAUUUGGCUUAUGCCACAAGUUAUCGAGUUCCCAGCCGAGUCCCCGAGUUUA